rnacentral:rRNA from 1 species
GACGUAGGUGGCGAACGUUAUCCGGAAUUAUUGGGCGUAAAGGGUGCGUAGAUGGCCUGGCAAGUUGGCAGUGGGAAAUCGAGGCCCAACCUCGUGGAAGCUGGUAAUACUGCCUGGCUCGAGUACAGGAGAGGUUAACGGAACUCCAUGUGGAGCGGUAAAAUGCGUAGAUAUAUGGAAGAACAUCAAUAACGGCGAAGGCAGUUAACUAGUCUGUUACUGACAUUGAGGCACGAAAGCGUGGGGAGCAAAACGG